GAUGAACGCUGGCGGCGUGCCUAAUACAUGCAAGUCGAACGAAACUUCUUUAUCACCGAGUGCUUGCACUCACCGAUAAAGAGUUGAGUGGCGAACGGGUGAGUAACACGUGGGCAACCUGCCCCAAAGAGGGGGAUAACACUUGGAAACAGGUGCUAAUACCGCAUAACCAUAGUUACCGCAUGGUAACUAUGUAAAAGGUGGCUAUACUACCGCUUUUGGAUGGGCCCGCGGCGCAUUAGCUAGUUGGUAGGGUAAAGGCUUACCAAGGCAAUGAUGCGUAGCCGAAUUGAGAGGUUGGUCGGCCACAUUGGGACUGAGACACGGCCCAAACUCCUACGGGAGGCAGCAGUAGGAAAUCUUCCACAAUGGGCGAAAGCCUGAUGGAGCAACGCCGCGUGGGUGAAGAAGGUCUUCGGAUCGUAAAACCCUGUUGUUAGAGAAGAAAGUGCGUGAGAGUAACUGUUCACGUUUCGACGGUAUCUAACCAGAAAGCCACGGCUAACUACGUG
rnacentral:rRNA from 1 species